rnacentral:rRNA from 1 species
AUUGAACGCUGGCGGCAGGCCUAACACAUGCAAGUCGAGCGGAGCGGCGGUCGGGUGAGUAAUGCCUAGGAAUCUGCCUGGGAGUGGGGGAUAACGUUAGGUAACGGGCGCUAAUACCGCAUACUAUCAGAUUAGCCUAGGUCGGAUUAGCUUGUUGGUGGGGUAAAGGCCUACCAAGGCGACGACCCGUAACUGGUCUGAGAGGAUGAUCAGUCACACUGGAACUGAGACACGGUCCAGACUCCUACGGGAGGCAGCAGUGGGGAAUAUUGGACAAUGGGGGAAAGCCUGAUGCAGCCAUGCCGCGUGUGUGAAGAAGGUCUUCGGAUUGUAAAGCACUUUAAGUUGGGAGGCGUUACCAACAGAAUAAGCACCGGCUAACUUCGUGCCAGCAGCCGCGGUAAUUC